rnacentral:rRNA from 1 species
CGGCAAGCCUUACACAUGCAAGUCGAGCGGUAGCACAGAGAGCUUGCUCUCGGGUGACGAGCGGCGGACGGGUGAGUAAUGUCUGGGAAACUGCCUGAUGGAGGGGGAUAACUACUGGAAACGGUAGCUAAUACCGCAUAACGUCGCAAGACCAAAGUGGGGGACCUUCGGGCCUCAUGCCAUCAGAUGUGCCCAGAUGGGAUUAGCUAGUAGGUGGGGUAACGGCUCACCUAGGCGACGAUCCCUAGCUGGUCUGAGAGGAUGACCAGCCACACUGGAACUGAGACACGGUCCAGACUCCUACGGGAGGCAGCAGUGGGGAAUAUUGCACAAUGGGCGCAAGCCUGAUGCAGCCAUGCCGCGUGUGUGAAGAAGGCCUUCGGGUUGUAAAGCACUUUCAGCGGGGAGGAAGGCGGUGAGGUUAAUAACCUCAUCGAU